GACGAACGCUGGCGGCGUGCUUAACACAUGCAAGUCGAACGGUAAGGCCUUUCGGGGUACACGAGUGGCGAACGGGUGAGUAACACGUGGGUGAUCUGCCCUGCACUUCGGGAUAAGCCUGGGAAACUGGGUCUAAUACCGGAUAUGACCGCGCGCUUCACGGUGUGUGGUGGAAAGCUUUUGCGGUGUGGGAUGGGCCCGCGGCCUAUCAGCUUGUUGGUGGGGUAAUGGCCUACCAAGGCGACGACGG
rnacentral:rRNA from 1 species